CAUGGAAGCAAUGGUCAUUGGUUGCGUGCCGGGUAUGUGAAAUGCUCUUUGUAGGCUUUGUUGUCUUUCUUUUUCAUUAUUUGUCGGUGUUCUUUGCGUUUCAAACUCUUAAAUUGUAUUUGAUAAUUUGGUGUUGUGUAUACUAAUUUGUUGACUGGUUAAUUAUUUGCCGUGUUGUAGGGUUGAUAUUGUUAUUCUGUUGCUGCUUCAAGGUCGAAUAGGAGUUUUUUUUCCUGUCUAUGAAGUUCAUUCAAGUGAUAUAUAAAUUUUAGGCAUUUGGGUUUAUGCCGUUUUUGGUGUCGUUUUGUUGUUUUAGGUUUUUUAUUUUUUGAAGGCAUGUUGAUUAUUGUUUAUCUUAUGUUUGAUUUUUCGUUUUUGUUUCUGGUUUGGGUGUUUGGUUUUGUUUUGGUUAGCUAAUGAUGUCUAAUAAACUAUGGUCUCGGGUACAAUAAUGAUGAUUUUGUUGUUGUCGAUGAUGUCUAAUAAACUAUGGUCUCGGGUACAAUAAUGAUGCUUUUGUUGUUGUCGUUGUUUUCAGGCAUUGUAGAGGAUAUUUUAGGUUGUGAUUCAAGUUGACAUUUAGUUAGCGAGUAGUCCGACAAGUCAUACUCUCCACUGAAUCCAUACUUGCCACGUACAACGUAAUUAAUCAGCCAUUGCUUGGUGAGAUCCAAAGAGUAUCCUCGAGGGAAGAUGAAUUUAGUCAAGAUGUGAAGAACUAGGAGAGGUGAUUGUGAAAGAGGCCAUGCUACAGCAGUGGAUUACGACCUAAGUUAUAUUUUUCCAAAUAAGUCAACAAUUUCAUUAAUCUUAUGUUCUUGGGAAUCGAUUUCCUAUGUGUAUUUCAUCGAUUUUGAUUUCGUGAUGCAGAUUGAAGAUUAAAAGUCGAUGAAGAAACCUAAUGUCACAAUUGCAGAAGAGGCGGCGAGGAUCGAUGCUGAUGAAUUAACUAAUUUUGUGUCAGAUUUGUCGGUGAGUGAAUUAUUUAGAUUUGGCGACUUUUGGAUGUUUAUAUUUAUCAAGUACCAAUUAUUUUAAAAAUAGAUUCGUGAUUUACAUUUGGCUAAUGCAUAUGUUUGGUUCUAAAGAAUUCAUUUAUAGUGGCAGCUUAGAGUUGGAUUUUGCUUUGCCUCCUCCUUUCUUCGAUGACGCUAGUUAGGCAGUUGCUGGACGCCAUCCGUGCAUGUUGAUAAAUUUGAGUUUUAUUGUCCGGUCUCACGUGUAGUGGAGUGCGUCCGGUUGCUGGACGCCAUCCGUUUGUUGGAAGUCUUGAAUAGCUUAUUGCGACGGUUUCAAGGGGGAAGAAAGAGUUUGUGAUUCAGACGGCCGGGGAUUCGGAUGUUCUAAGAAGUUGGAUGGAACGGGU